rnacentral:rRNA from 1 species
UCAAGCUACUAAGAGCAUGUGGUAGAUGCCUUGGUGCCAAGAGGCGAUGAAGGACGUGGUUAGCUGCGAAAAGCUUCGGGGAGCCGCUAAGCAGGCUUUGAUCCGGAGAUUUCCGAAUGGGGCAACCCAUUCCGAGUAAUGUCGGAAUAUUCCGCAGGUGAAUACAUAGCCAGUGGAAGGCGAACGAGAGGAACUGAAACAUCUAAGUACUCUCAGGAAAAGAAAGAAAUUCGAUUCCCAAAGUAGUGGCGAGCGAAAUGGGAAGAGCCUAAACCAAAUAUACUUAUAGUCCGUGAGCGUUGUAUAUUUGGGGUUGUAGGAUAAUAUUGGAGGUUUUUACGGAAACCUCGGGAAGUUACAAAGCUGUUCUAUAGCAAAAUAACAUGGAAAGGUUAACCAUAGCGGGUGAUAGUCCUUUAUGCGAAAUAGAAUAACCUUCCUGGAUAUUAUCCUGAGUACCACGGGACACGUGGAAUCUUGUGGGAAGAUAGGGGGACCAUCCCCAAAGGCUAAAUACUACUUGGCGACCGAUAGUGUACAAGUACCGUGAGGGAAAGGUGAAAAGAACCCCGUUGAGGGGAGUGAAAUAGUACCUGAAACCGCAUGCUUACAUGUAGUGGUAGUUCCGUAGCAAUACGGAAUAACCGCGUACCUUUUGCAUAAUGGGUCAGUGAGUUACUCUAUGUUGCGAGGUUAAGCCGUUAGGUGUAGCCGGAGCGAAAGCGAGUCCGAAAAGGGCGAUUAGUUGCAUGGAGUAGACCCGAAACCAGGUGAUCUAUCCAUGGCCAGGAUGAAUCCCGAGUAAUAUCGGAAAGAGGUCCGAACCCACUCAGGUUGAAAACUGAGGGGAUGAGCUGUGGAUCGGAGUGAAAGGCUAAACAAACCUGGAAAUAGCUGGUUCUCCCCGAAAUAUAUUUAGGUAUAGCCUCACAUGUUCGGUUAUGGAGGUAGAGCACUGAAUGGGCUAGGGCUCCUACAAGGGUACCAAACCCAACCAAACUCCGAAUGCCAUAACCCAAAAUGGAGGAGACAGACUGCGGGUGAUAAGAUCCGUAGUCGAGAGGGAAACAGCCCAGACCAUCAGCUAAGGUCCCUAAAAUGUGCUAAGUGGAAAAGGAUGUGGGUCCACUAAAACAGCCAGGAGGUUGGCUUAGAAGCAGCCACCCUUUAAAGAAAGCGUAACAGCUCACUGGUCUAGCAGGCCUGCGCCGAAAAUGUAACGGGGCUAAGCACAUUACCGAAGCUAUGGAUCAUUCCGUAUAUCGGAAUGGUGGUAGGGGAGCAUUCUGCUUACCUGUGAAGGUGUCUCGUGAGGGAUGCUGGAGGACGCAGAAGAGAGUAUGCUGACAUGAGUAGCGAUAAUGCCGGUGAAAAACCGGCACGCCGUAAGCCCAAGGUUUCCUGAGCAAGGGUAAUCCUCUCAGGGUUAGUCGGUCCCUAAGGCGAGGCCGAAAGGCGUAGUUGAUGGGAAACAGGUUAAUAUUCCUGUACCACCAGGUAGGUGAUAAAGACGCGAAGGGGGGACGGAGAAGGGUAGGCCAUCCUGCUGACGGAAUAGCAGGUUCAAGCCCGUAGAGGGGUUCCACAGGCAAAUCCAUGGAACCAUAACCUCGAGAAGUGAUGAGGAGUCCGCUUGCGGACACAAACUGGCUAAUCCCAUGCUUCCAAGAAAAGCCUCGUAGCGAAUCUAUUUGGUGACCGUACCGCAAACCGACACAGGUGGGCAAGGAGAGAAUCCUAAGGCGCUUGAGAUAACUCUGGUUAAGGAACUUUGCAAAAUUACACCGUAACUUAGGGAGAAGGUGUAUUCUGGUGCGUGUAAGAACUUGCUUCUGAAGCGUUCUGGAAUCGCAGUGAAGAGGGAGUGACGACUGUUUACUAAAAACAUAGGACUCUGCAAACUCGUAAGAGGAUGUAUAGGGUCUGACGCCUGCCCGGUGCUGGAAGGUUAAGGGGAGAUGUUAUUCAAGGAAACGAGGAGAAGCAUUGAACCGAAGCCCCAGUAAACGGCGGCCGUAACUAUAACGGUCCUAAGGUAGCGAAAUUCCUUGUCGGGUAAGUUCCGACCUGCAUGAAUGGCGUAACGAUUGCUCCGCUGUCUCAACCAGGGACUCAGCGAAAUUAUAAUGGGGGUGAAGAUACCCUCACCCCGCGGCAAGACGGUAAGACCCCGUGAACCUUUACUAUAGCUUGACAGUGAACUUCGGAAUAUCAUGUGUAGGAUAGGUGGGAGGCUAUGAAGCGUUGGCGCAAGCUGGCGCAGAGCCGACCUUGAAAUACCACCCUUGUUGUUUUGAGGUUCUAACUCAGGUCCCUUAAUCGGGAUCGAGGACAUUGUCUGGUGGGUAGUUUGACUGGGGCGGUCGCCUCCAAAA